rnacentral:rRNA from 1 species
AGUGAACGCUGGCGGUAGGCCUAACACAUGCAAGUCGAACGGCAGCACAGUAAGAGCUUGCUCUUACGGGUGGCGAGUGGCGGACGGGUGAGGAAUACAUCGGAAUCUACUUUUUCGUGGGGGAUAACGUAGGGAAACUUACGCUAAUACCGCAUACGACCUACGGGUGAAAGCAUGGGAUCUUCGGACCUUGCGCGAUUGAAUGAGCCGAUGUCGGAUUAGCUAGUUGGCGGGGUAAAGGCCCACCAAGGCGACGAUCCGUAGCUGGUCUGAGAGGAUGAUCAGCAACACGGGAACUGAGACACGGUCCAGACUCCUACGGGAGGCAGCAGUGGGGAAUAUUGGACAAUGGGCGCAAGCCUGAUCCAGCCAUACCGCGUGGGGGAAGAAGGCCUUCGGGUUGUAAAGCCCUUUUGUUGGGAAAGAAAAGCAGCAGGUUAAUACCCCGCUGUUCUGACGGUACCCAAAGAAUAAGCACCGGCUAACUUCGUG